rnacentral:rRNA from 1 species
UACAGAGGUCUCAAGCGUUGUUCGGAUUCAUUGGGCGUAAAGGGUGUGUAGGCGGCGCGGUAAGUGGGGUGUGAAAUUUCGAGGCUUAACCUCGAAACUGCAUUCGAUACUGCCGUGCUUGAGGACUGGAGAGGAGACUGGAAUUUACGGUGUAGCGGUGAAAUGCGUAGAUAUCGUAAGGAAGACCAGUGGCGAAGGCGGGUCUCUGGACAGUUCCUGACGCUGAGGCACGAAGGCCAGGGGAGCAAACGGG